rnacentral:rRNA from 1 species
CCAAAAAGAAACAAANUANCAAUAUUAAAUGUUUAUUNUUNNNUCGCCUCCUAGGCAAAAAAGUAUAGUAUAAAGUGUUUUGUGUGUGUUACACAUUACACAAAAAAUUCCUUAUUUAUAUAAAAUUUGUAAAAAUUGAAAUUGUGUGGACAUAUUAUAUCAAAUUAAUUUGUAUACAAAAUGUCUAAAAAUUUGAAAUACAUAAAAUUAUAGUUGUACUUGUAUAAAAUUGAAAAGUAAUUUUAUAUAAGUCAAUCAUUGUUCUUUUUUUAAGAACUUGAGACAUUCGCAACAAAAAUUUUAUGUUUUAAUUAUAAAAGAGAAUAAUAAUAAGCAAAAAUUAUUGAAGGAAUUGAUAUAUGCCAAUUUGAAAAUUUUUGGUGUAUUUUUGAUUUCUUUCAAUAAAUAUAUAUAUGAAGUGCUAUUGAAAAUAAAAAUUAUAUCACUCUAAGCGGUGGAUCACUUGGCUCAUGGGUCGA